GAUGAACGCUGGCGGCGUGCCUAAUACAUGCAAGUCGAGCGAACGGACGAGAAGCUUGCUUCUCUGAUGUUAGCGGCGGACGGGUGAGUAACACGUGGAUAACCUACCUAUAAGACUGGGAUAACUUCGGGAAACCGGAGCUAAUACCGGAUAAUAUUUUGAACCGCAUGGUUCAAAAGUGAAAGACGGUCUUGCUGUCACUUAUAGAUGGAUCCGCGCUACAUUAGCUAGUUGGUAAGGUAACGGCUUACCAAGGCAACGAUGCAUAGCCGACCUGAGAGGGUGAUCGGCCACACUGGAACUGAGACACGGUCCAGACUCCUACGGGAGGCAGCAGUAGGGAAUCUUCCGCAAUGGGCGAAAGCCUGACGGAGCAACGCCGCGUGAGUGAUGAAGGUCUUCGGAUCGUAAAACUCUGUUAUUAGGGAAGAACAUAUGUGUAAGUAACUGUGCACAUCUUGACGGUACCUAAUCAGAAAGCCACGGCUAACUACGUGCCAGCAGCCGCGGUAAUACGUAGGUGGCAAGCGUUAUCCGGAAUUAUUGGGCGUAAAGCGCGCGUAGGCGGUUUUUUAAGUCUGAUGUGAAAGCCCACGGCUCAACCGUGGAGGGUCAUUGGAAACUGGAAAACUUGAGUGCAGAAGAGGAAAGUGGAAUUCCAUGUGUAGCGGUGAAAUGCGCAGAGAUAUGGAGGAACACCAGUGGCGAAGGCGACUUUCUGGUCUGUAACUGACGCUGAUGUGCGAAAGCGUGGGGAUCAAACAGGAUUAGAUACCCUGGUAGUCCACGCCGUAAACGAUGAGUGCUAAGUGUUAGGGGGUUUCCGCCCCUUAGUGCUGCAGCUAACGCAUUAAGCACUCCGCCUGGGGAGUACGACCGCAAGGUUGAAACUCAAAGGAAUUGACGGGGACCCGCACAAGCGGUGGAGCAUGUGGUUUAAUCCGAAACAACGCGAAGAACCUUACCAAAUCUUGACAUCCUCUGACAACUCUAGAGAUAGAGCCUUCCCCUUCGGGGGACAAAGUGACAGGUGGUACAUGGUUGUCGUCAGCUCGUGUCGUGAGAUGUUGGGUUAAGUCCCGCAACGAGCGCAACCCUUAAGCUUAGUUGCCAUCAUUAAGUUGGGCACUCUAAGUUGACUGCCGGUGACAAACCGGAGGAAGGUGGGGAUGACGUCAAAUCAUCAUGCCCCUUAUGAUUUGGGCUACACACGUGCUACAAUGGACAAUACAAAGGGCAGCGAAACCGCGAGGUCAAGCAAAUCCCAUAAAGUUGUUCUCAGUUCGGAUUGUAGUCUGCAACUCGACUACAUGAAGCUGGAAUCGCUAGUAAUCGUAGAUCAGCAUGCUACGGUGAAUACGUUCCCGGGUCU
rnacentral:rRNA from 1 species